rnacentral:lncRNA from 1 species
AUACUACAAAUAUAAAUCAAUCUUUGACAUAAAACAGGGUACUUAUAAAUAUAUUUCUGUAAAAAGUCAGGGAAAAUGAAUUAAAAUGUUGGUAUAGGGUACUUAGCAAGAUAAGAGGUUGCCAACAGCAACUCCCUUCCCUUCACCAUUAUGAUGAGAGUUGUAAUUAUAUCUAUCUCUGUUUUUGGUCGACAGCUCUUUUGAUGUUACAGUUUGUUGUGUUAUUUGGCCAAGUGUUUCUGUUGUUACACUACAUCAUACAUAGUUUUCUCAUGAAAGGAAAACAGUGUUUGAUUGAUGCCAAGACUUAGGUCCUCGAAUAAAAAAUUAUAUGUAAUUUUACAAGUGUGUUGAAUAUCCUUGGAUAUUUAUAGACAAACCUAUAUAUAUUGAAAUUUGUUGUCAAAAAUCUACGGGAGCAAUAUGAAUUCAGGUAAUAAAUUUAGAGAAAUGCUAAUUAAAAAAACUUUUUUUUAACAAAAAGUACUAAAUAAUAAAGUGGUGUAAUUUUUUUUGAAAGAAAGUGGUGUAAUUAUUAUUACAGUAACAAAGUAACAACUUAUAUUUUUAAGAUAAAAUUUGAUUUAAUGUAUUCUUUAAACAAUAUUCCAACCACACUUAUCAACUGUACUCAUAAAUUUACAAGAAAGAAGCAAAGAGUUUUUUUAUUCAUACACACUUUUCUCAUUUAACUCUAUAAGUUAGAUUAAUCUACAUAUUUACUCUCUCGACCAAAAUAACCCUUUUAUUAGGCAAAUGAGUUAGGAUGAUAAGGGAGGCCAAGUAGGGCAGGUGACAUGCUAUAUUCUUCUUGAUUGCACCUCUAAAUAUAGGAUGUCACCAUAUGGUUCACAUUUUUUUUUUCUUCUCAUUCCUAAUUAAUUAGAGUUAGCGUGUCAUUUACUCCAUAGACUAAAGAAGUUUUUAUUGUUUUAGGGUCCAUCUAAUAUGACUCAUGCUAUUUUUAGUAAAAUUACUUUUGAAUGUGAAACCCUAAUCCGGUUAUCACAAAAGCUAUUUUUGUAAAACUUGUGAAAGCGAAGCCCUAAUUCGAUUAUCACAAAAACUUGUCUUGUAUAUCAAGAAUAGAAAAAUUGUCUAAUCAGAUAGAAUAAUACUACAAUACCAUUUCUCUUGCAAGCACCAAAUUCUUAAAUUAAAGCUUAGAAUAUUCACAACACACAUUUUAUUUCGUUUUCAUUCUCUUUCAUCUCACAGACUUCCUGGAAGCAUUUUGAUUAGAUUUUGAAAGCAUCAAUUGGCCUUUUUCCUUGUUGGUAGUACUCGAGAAAUAUCUUAGCAUAAUCUUUUACUGGUUUGUAUAAUACUGGCCUUGACUCGUUCACUAGUUUGUCAAUCGGUUGAAUCUCUUUCUCUGAAUUUGGGCGGCAAAACAUAGCAACUGAGAGCCUUUCCCUUUCUGCAUUUACCACUACUCUGUGUAUUGGACUCUGAAAAAUCCCAUUGCUCAUUAUCUGUGUAUUGCAUUCAAUUUCCUUGAAAACAUAAGUAAAAAUAUGUAAAAGUAAUAAAUACUCAUAUUUCUAUGCAAAAUUUAUCAAUUUUGAUUAUUUAAACAAUGCUCCAAAGACACUUAUUAAUUUUAUUGUAUUUUUUAUGAAACAAGAGCAGUGGCUUCCGAAGAGGUUGCUCAUAUCAUUAUUCAUUCCACUUUAAGGCUUGACUAACUUAGCACUUUCAUGCUAGCAGGAUAUCCUCUCCGAGCAACACAUCCUCAAACUCAUAGCAAACUACAACUUAUGCAUCACAAACUUCAAGUUUUCACAUAAACUACAAGUGUAAUACGAGCAAUAAGUUCUCACGCAUCCUUAAAUACUCAAGGUUUCUUGUGAAGCAUGAGCUCAUUAUGAGCAUAUAACUUAGUUCCUUGCGAACUAAAGACUCAUCAAAGUCAGGUACAACUUAAAGCUUCCCACGAGCAUGAUCUUUUCCCUAACAUAAAACUGCUUGAAGUCAUCACUCUUUAGUCCAAGAAUAACGACUUGGGGGCAACUGUUCUUGACUGCCCAAAAACAUAUGCUCGUAAUCCAAGGCCUAAUAAGCAGGCUUAAUUUGGCAUUGUACACAUAACCCCUGUCCAUGGAGGGGGGUGGGGCUCGCAACUAUUUGGAGCAACGAUUCAAAACAAUGAUUCAUAAUUGCCUCCAUCAUUGCAAACUAGUAACACUUUACAGUCGAGGAACAACAACAUACGUCAAAAUACCGAUUGAUUUCUGUCCCUUAAACCCCCUUUCUAGCUCAAAAUACUAACUUGGGUAUUAGAGUGUUUGCGGUUACACCACCCCAAGCACUCAAGAACAACAAGCUCUUUGAUCAUAUAAGUAUCUUAUACUUAUUGUAAUUAAUUUUAGUCAUUUCUGUCAAUUUCAAAUAAUCAAUCUUUCUUUUAAUUUUUUAAUAAACAACGUGGUUGACAUAAUAUGGAGCACUUAUUUAAUUAAUAUCAAUACAAAACAAUACAAAGAGUCAAACAAAAUUGAUGUAUUUAGUUUAGAUUUUUAAAUAUAAGCAAGAAAAAGUCAAAUAACAUUGAUGUAUCUGGUUCAAAAUUUCAAAUGUUUAACCAACCAUAUAAACUUUGUUUGACUCUACUUAUUUAUAUCAAGAGUUUUUCUGUCAUGUGCAAAUUUGCUCACCAAUAUACCAAAACAUAAAUUUAACAACGAAAGUUAUUACCUACCUCCAUUUGAUCACCAACAUUAAUCACAAGAGCAUCAUGGAUUAUUGGAACCUUAAACCACCGGUUAUCUUUGAGAACUUGGAGGCCUUCUACCUUUUUAUCUUGCAGCAAAAAAGUUAUAGAUGAUGAAUCAGAAUGUGGCUUCAGCCCCAGAGCAUGAUCAGCCAUAGGACAUGGAGGGUAGUAAUUGGUUCUCAUAGACAUUGUACCUCUCUCUCCACAUUCCUUUAGGAAACAAUCCUCUUCCAAGUUCAGUGUCUUCGCCAUGACCCUUAAAAUUACUUCAUAUAACUGCCAGACACAUUCGGUAUAUUGCUGUAUAGUAUUCCUGCAUUCACAUAUCCGCCGACAUGAUUCUUCAUUUACAUAUUAAUAGAGCAAAUAAUUGCUACUUCAUGCCAUGUAAAAUAAUAUUAAGUGUUAUUGAGAACUUAGUGACGAUAAGAAUUUAUACCUGAAAUCAAUGGGGUUUUGGGGCCAAAGUUUGAAAUUCCUUUGAUCUUCAGGAUGUACCUUCAAAAAUAAUCUGUCACACCAAUCAAGCAUUUGAUUUUCUGAAUAUAUUGUAUCAUUUCCAUAUCCUUCAAUAUUGAUUUGCUCCCUUUCAUAUUUUUGCUUUUCUUCCUUUGGAAGUUCAAAAAAUUGCUUUGAAACUUCACUCACUUUGUCAAGAAACGAGCUUGUCAUCCCAUGGUUUAUCACCUGAAUAGCGGAAAACAGUUGCGAAUAAUUUUGGAGCUUACGGAGGAAUACAUAACUAAAAUAAAAGUAUGUAUAAAUAAAUAAAUAAAUAAUAAUGAAAAUGAGACCAGAAAGAAGCCACAUGAAUGAAGUGCAGAUUGGAGUUUAUGAAGCUCAUGUUGUGAUGUAGAUGGAGAAGUGAGGUUGGCAAUGUCAAUAAUUGGAACAUGAAAAUCUGAUUCUGAAGGAAGAAGAGCAUCACGAAAUCCAACACCACCUUCAUUGUAUAUAUAAUUAUUUGGUGGAAGAUUUUCAAAAUUCAAUGCCAACUCUUGAACUGAUUUAUUACCAACUAUCUCUACCUCUGCCGACACUUCCAUUUUUGUUAUUGUUAUUAUGAUGAAAUUACUAAACAAGUAAUAAGAAGAAGCAAUAAUAAUCAAACUAGACAAAAACCGGUGUGUUGCACGUUUGAAUGCAGAUGCUCAUCUUAUGUGGUCCAUUGAAUAUUUGACAUAUAUCUUACACUUAUCUUAUCUACAGUGUAAGAUAACUAUAAGAAUCAUGCUAAAAUAUGUCUUAAAAGCAUUUGAGAUUCAUUGUGACGUUGGCUUGAGACAUUAAAGUUUACUCAUCUCGAAGUCUCGUAUUAGAUUCUUUUUGUGUUGAUUUUGGUGGAUUAUUUUACCUUCUUAAAAGAAACACUUAUUGAUGACUCGGGAGAAAAAAAUAAUUGAUAAGUCUUUAUUAUAAAAAAAUUCUUUUUAAAGUUUUAAUGUGUUAAAUACGUUAUUUUCAAUAUAAAAUUCCAUCUUUGAAAAUCUAAACAAAUGACAUUUCCGUUAAUAUAAAGUCUUUUUUUUGGGCAAACAACUAUUUGGUCUCUUGAUGUACGCCUAACCAUGAGACUUGUCCCUAAGACCCUAACUUAGGAAAAUACACAAAAAAGCCUCCGACUCAAAAAUUGGUUAGCCACUUUGGUCUUGGAAAUUAUAUUAUACCGUUAACUCUACAAAAAAAACUAAGCUGACAUUUUUUUUUGGUGACAAGUAAGGCAUGGCGUGGCUAAGCAUGGCAAUGGAGCGGGGUGGGGACGGAUUUUACCUUCCCCGUUCUCAUACCCGAUUCUCAUAUACUUACCCUUUACCCUAUAUCCAUACCCAACAAGGAUGAGAAAUUGAAUCCCAUCCCCGUCCCCCACUACAAGAAACAUCACCUUUUGCUAGGGGCAAAAUCCUUGAGAAAAUGACAGAAUCCCUGGGAAAAGGGACGUUUGUGAGGGAAUUUGCCAAGGGCGGAAGUACUGGCAAAAGCGCUCGUCGCAAACAUUUUGUCAGGGGUUACACCCCUGGGACAAAAACGAGGGGCUCAACCCCUGGUAUAUGGCCUAACUUUUUCCCUGUUAUAACCGCUGGCAAAAUCCCUCACUUUUUUCUGCAACUGACACAUUGAAUGACUAACUAACACGCUGACGCACUAACUGAUAGAAUGGCAAAUUUGAUUCGCAAAAAACCAGGGACUAGUGAGGGGUUUAACCCCUGGCCAAGUGUAUAUUAUUUUUUUUUUAAAAAAAGUUUUAUUUAUAAAACCGAAUAUUUAUUUAAUUAAUUAAAUAUUAUAAAAUUAUUUUAAUUAAUUAAAAAAUCGAUUUUUUUUUAUUUUAUAAAAAAACAGAUUUUAAUUUAACUAAAAUAAUUGUAACAUAGUUUUAAUUUAAAUAAACAACUUUCUUGUACUAUACUAUUUUUAAACAAUAUACAUUAUUAUAUUAUAUUGUUUUAUUUUAUAAUUUGAUAAAAUAUAAUAACAGAUUUUAACAUACUUUUAGAAAAACAGAUUUCAAUACACUAUUUAAAUAAAAUGUUUUCCAACAAUAAACCUUUUUAGUAUUUAUUUUUUAUGAAGUAUUUUUAUUUUAGAAACAGUUUUUAAAAUUAGCAAAAUUUAAAAAAAAAACAUAAACACAAAAAUUAAUAAGUUAAGAGAGUUUUAAUUACCAAAGUUAGAGAAAUGUGUUGAUGUUGAAGAGUAGAGUGUAUAGAAAUGGAGGAGUAAUUUUUUUUUUCUUCUAAGUUUGAGACACUUGCAAUGAAGAAACGGACCUGAUUGUAUAUAUAUAGGCCAGGAAAAAAACGAGGGCUCCAUCGACGGGUAGCCGCUCGCAGACCAAGUCAAAUCCUAGCUAGGGCUAGGUGCAAAAAGGUCAGUAAAAAGCCACGACUUCAUGCAAUAAACGAGGGGUUUUACCCCUGUCACGCCUCCUGCAACAGCUGUUGUGCAGGUUGACUUGACAACCUAAUGACAAUAGCAGAGAUUCUCUGCUGAAUCACGCGUCAGAGGGGCAGUCCGUCGGAUAUGUCGUGGCUUUUUGCUGCAAUUUCUGAAACAUGGCAGGCGGUUUGAAUUUUGAUUUUCGCGGGCAAACCAUACCAGGGCGUGUGUACAUUUGUGAGGGCCUCACCCCUGUCAAAUGGUUAGUGGUCCCCGAAUUCCCAAAAUCAAUAUACCAGGGGUUUUCCUUGGCUUAGGCCCUGACAAAUUUCUUAGGGGUUUUAAAACCCCUGGCAAUAUGUCAUAUUUCUUUUAGUGCCCGACGGGUUCGGGUAUCCCCGCCUCAUCCCCGUUCCCGCAUUGAAUAAUUUUUUUAAUAAAAAAUAGAAGUUUUUUUGCAUCCCCAAGAGCAACGUUGUAAUACAUUAUCCCACAAUAAGCUCACUUUCACAUUUGUUAGACAAAAUGAUUUAGUUGAUCUUUAAAUAUCAAUGGUAGUUUUUAUUACAAGAUAAGAGGGUACUUAGCAAGAUAAGAGGGUGCCAACAGCAACUCCCUUCCCUUCACCAUUAUGAGAGUUGUAAUUAUUUCUAUCUCUGUUUUUGGUCGACAGCUCUUUUGAUGUUACAGUUUGUUGUGUUAUUUGGCCAAGUGUUUCUGUUGUUACACUACAUCAUACAUAGUUUUCUCAUGAAAGGAAAACAGUGUUUGAUUGAUGCCAAGACUUAG